AUUGAACGCUGGCGGCAUGCCUUACACAUGCAAGUCGAACGGCAGCACGGGUGCUUGCACCUGGUGGCGAGUGGCGAACGGGUGAGUAAUACAUCGGAACGUACCUUAUCGUGGGGGAUAACGCAGCGAAAGCUGUGCUAAUACCGCAUACGCCCUGAGGGGGAAAGCGGGGGAGCGAAAGACCUCGCGCGAUUAGAGCGGCCGAUGCCUGAUUAGCUUGUUGGUGGGGUAAAAGCCCACCAAGGCGACGAUCAGUAGCUGGCCUGGGAGGACGAUCAGCCACACUGGGACGGAGACACGGCCCAGACUCCGACGGGAGGCAGCAGUGAGGAAUUUUGGACAAUGGGGGCAACCCUGAUCCAGCAAUGCCGCGUGAGUGAAGAAGGCCUUCGGGUUGUAAAGCUCUUUUGUCAGGGAAGAAACACCGGCUCUAACACAGUCCGCGAAUGACGGUACCUGAAGAAUAAGCACCCGCUAACUACGUGCCAGCCGCCGCGGUAA
rnacentral:rRNA from 1 species